AUUGAACGCUGGCGGCAGGCCUAACACAUGCAAGUCGAACGAGCGGCGGACGGGUGAGUAAUGUAUGGGGACUGCCCGAUAGAGGGGGAUAACUACUGGAAACGGUGGCUAAUACCGCUUACUAUCGGAUAACCCAUAUGGGAUUAGCUAGUAGGUGGGGUAAAGGCUCACCUAGGCGACGAUGCCUAGCUGGCCUGAGAGGAUGAGCACCCACACUGGGACUGAGACACGGCCCAGACUCCUACGGAGGCAGCAGUGGGGAAUCUUGCACAAUGGGCGCAAGCCUGACGGAGCCAUGCCGCGUGUAUGAAGAAGGUUUUAGGGUUGUAAAGUACUUUCAGCGGGGAAGCGUUACCUACAGAGAAAGCCCCGGCUAACUCCGUGCCAGCAGCCGCGGUAAUUC
rnacentral:rRNA from 1 species